UAUAGGUCACUUUGGACCAAAGCCAUUGAAUCUUGAAAAGGUCCAACUUAAAAUGCCCAUAACUUUCUCAUAAAAAAUCCAAAUGAUUCAAAACUUAAGUCCAAAUUUAUUAUCUUGAAAAGAUAUACAACUUUGAUGUUGAAGGUUUUUUCAUUUCAGGCUUGCAUCAUUGAAACAGAAGAGCUUGAAGUUGGUCCUUUUUGGCAAAAUUUUCAAAUACAUGUUUUGUACCUUGAACUUCAUGGCCAGUUUUCACAAUUUU
rnacentral:lncRNA from 1 species